CCUACGGGAGGCAGCAGUGAGGAAUAUUGGUCAAUGGGCGGAAGCCUGAACCAGCCAAGUAGCGUGCAGGAUGACGGCCCUACGGGUUGUAAACUGCUUUUAUACGGGAAUAACGCGCCUUACGUGUAGGGCUUUGCAUGUACCGUAUGAAUAAGGACCGGCUAAUUCCGUGCCAGCAGCCGCGGUAAUACGGAAGGUCCGGGCGUUAUCCGGAUUUAUUGGGUUUAAAGGGAGCGUAGGCCGCAUGUCAAGCGUGCUGUGAAAUGGCCGGGCUCAACCCGGGCCUUGCAGCGCGAACUGGCGAGCUUGAGUCCGCGGAAGGCAGGUGGAAUUCGACGUGUAGCGGUGAAAUGCGUAGAGAUGACGAAGAACCCCGAUUGCGAAGGCAGCUUGCUGCAGCGGAACUGACGCUGAGGCUCGAAAGCGUGGGUAUCGAACAGGAUUAGAUACCCUAGUAGUC
rnacentral:rRNA from 1 species